rnacentral:rRNA from 1 species
UGCGCGGCGGGGCCGGCCCUGCUGAAUUAUUCACCCGUGUCUUUUGCGUACUUCUUGUUUCCUGGGUGGGCUCGCCCGCCCUCAGGACCAACCACAAACCUUUUGCAAUAGCAAUCAGCGUCAGUAACAACGUAAUUAAUUACAACUUUCAACAACGGAUCUCUUGGUUCUGGCAUCGAUGAAGAACGCAGCGAAAUGCGAUACGUAGUGUGAAUUGCAGAAUUCAGUGAAUCAUCGAAUCUUUGAACGCACAUUGCGCCCUUUGGUAUUCCAAAGGGCAUGCCUGUUCGAGCGUCAUUUGUACCCUCAAGCUUUGCUUGGUGUUGGGCGUCUUUUGUCUCCAGUUCGCUGGAGACUCGCCUUAAAGUCAUUGGCAGCCGGCCUACUGGUUUCGGAGCGCAGCACAAGUCGCGCUCUUUGCCAGCCAAGGUCAGCGUCCAGCAAGCCUUUUUUUCAACCUUUGACCUCGGAUCAGGUAGGGAUACCCGCUGAACUUAAGCAUAUCAAU